CAGUCCUUCAGCGGCCGGGUUCGCGCCGCGGUCGCCGGCUGCUUACGUGGGCGGGCCUAGCGUGGGGCUGCGGGUGCGGGUCGCUAUGGCGGUGGACAUCACGCUGCUAUUCCGGGCCAGCGUCAAGACCGUGAAGACGCGGAACAAGGCGCUGGGAGUGGCGGUGGGCGGCGGGGUCGAUGGCAGCCGGGACGAGCUGUUCCGCCGGAGCCCCCGGCCCAAGGGCGACUUCUCCAGCCGGGCCCGCGAAGUGAUUUCUCACAUUGGCAAACUGAGAGAUUUUCUUCUGGAACACAGGAAAGAUUAUAUUAAUGCUUAUAGCCAUACCAUGUCUGAAUAUGGGAGGAUGACAGACACAGAACGAGACCAGAUAGACCAGGAUGCCCAGAUAUUCAUGAGGACCUGUUCAGAAGCAAUUCAACAACUACGAACAGAAGCUCACAAGGAGAUACAUUCCCAGCAAGUGAAGGAGCACAGGACCGCUGUUUUGGAUUUCAUUGAAGAUUACUUGAAAAGUAUUUCAUUUUCUUUUAAAGGAGUAUGUAAACUUUACUCAGAACAGAGAGCCAUCCGAGUUAAAAGAGUGGUGGAUAAGAAAAGAUUAUCUAAGCUGGAACCAGAACCAAAUACAAAGACAAGAGAAUCCACAUCUUCUGAGAAAGUUUCACAGAGUCCUUCAAAAGACUCUGAAGAAAACCCUGCCACUGAAGAACGUCCAGAAAAGAUUUUGGCUGAAACACAACCUGAAUUGGGAACGUGGGGAGAUGGCAAAGGCGAAGAUGAGUUAUCCCCAGAAGAAAUACAAAUGUUUGAACAGGAAAAUCAGCGACUAAUUGGUGAAAUGAACAGCUUGUUUGAUGAAGUGAGGUAUGUUUGUAGCUCCUCUGUGAGCUGAUAGCCUGCUUUACAACUUUUCCAGGAACUAGGAACUUUAUUUACCUUGGUGCCCAGGCAUCCCCAUGGGGCCCUUGGGCUGGUGCAGCCCCCCUCAGCCAUUUUGACUGGGCUGGGGUGGGCAUGUGUCCUGAAUCCACAACUCCCUCAGCUUGUGGGCCUGUGGGUUACCUCCUGCCUGCUGCCACUGCUGCGGUGGGCCCAGGUGCUUCCCACCCCGAGAGAUACAGGAGUGACUAUAGAUUACCUGCGUGUAAUUUCCACCACCAUUCGGGCUGUUUCCACGCAGCGACUCUGAAAUGAAAUGGGGCCCUCAUGAAGGGCAGCUAACCAAGGGAAGCCCUCUUCUGCAAAUGGUUCCACUGGGGUCUGCCUGCUCCUGUACCCACCAGGGAGUCAGGAAUGCAGAAGGCAAGGCCUUGGUCACUCACACGUGCACCCAUUAGCCUCUAGUUUCUGUGGGAAGGCUUGGAGCAUGCUGAAAGUAAGGCCCAGGACUUUGCAGAGCCUGUUGUAUUGUGGACAUGUCCCCCAAAUAAAAUCAAUCCUGAUGCUGCACUCACACAGCCUGAGGACUUUCUCAGUGUAGGUGUCAGCCUCCAAGGGGCUCUUCGCCUUCUGCCCUCAGAGAUGGACCUCCUAGUCCUCCUCUGACAGCCUAGCUUUCACUCUCUGCCCCACUGCCGCCCCCACCCUGCUACUCCCCCAUGCCCAGAUACUCACUGGCUUUUCCUCCCACAUCUCCUCCCCUGCCCCCUGCCACUGUGAUACUGUUGGCAUUCAUCACUGCUUCCACCUGGCCAGGAGCUCAGCUCCCACCACUUUUUGCCUCCUGUCACUUCCUGUCGCUGCUUUGUGCUGGAACAGCAGUUGACUUCAGCUUGGGCCAGCUUCUGUUUCUAAAUAGAUGUGCCCCCACCCGCCCCCCAGGGUAGCCCAUGCUGCCCCUGACACCAGGAAGAUGGCUAGCCCAAGUGUUUCAGAUCCGACAGAACACUCCGUUGCCAAACCAAGACAUGGCAUUUUCUAAAUGAAUCAGAGGAGCUUUUUUCUUGGAACAGGGAGUUGGUUUGAAGGCAAAUCGAAGGGAGAGUGGUUGAGAUUUCCAGACUCCAAGAGAUAUUCACGGAAAAGGUUUUGCAACAGGAAGCUGAGAUUGACAGCAUUCACCAGUUAGUUGUGGGGGCAACGGAAAAUAUCAAGGAAGGCAACGAAGACAUAAGAGAGGCCAUUAAAAACAACGCUGGCUUCCGCGUGUGGAUCCUCUUCUUCCUCGUGAUGUGCUCCUUCUCCUUGCUCUUCCUCGACUGGUACGACAGCUAGCCGGGGCCACGGGGGCCCAGCACGAGAGUCCUCAUGGGCACUCACAGACUGCGUGCUUUCGUGUACUUCCAGUGCUGGAGCAUGGUAUGACCAGAUUUUAUCACAGUGCCAUUUGAAGGGAAAGGAGUUCAGACAGACAGACGUAUUCCCCAAAAAGGGAUACCCCAGGCCGAUGGUGUUCAGCCCAUUUAGCAGCUGAAAAAGGAAACAGUGCACACCAAUGGGAGGCAGCCUGCGUAGCCCGCAUCAGGCAAGACAGACUGAAUGCAGGAGCGGGUGAUUAGCUGCUCCUGAACUUGAGGCUGCCUUGGCGGGGUGCUGCUCCAGUAGCAGGGGCACAGCAGGCCUCAAGAGCCCCUAAUUGUCUCAGGGUUCAAAGGAAGACACUGACCUUUCCCAUCCCGGUAGCUUCAGGGAAGAUCAUAGUUAAUAACGUCUCUCAACAAAUGAUUACUUCUUUGUUUCCUUGUGGCUUCUUGUCUGUCUGAGUCAACGAAUACACAGACUUACUGGAUUAUAGAAGAGAAAAUUCACAUCUGCCUUGUUAAUCUAAUAAAUAUAAUUACAGCCCCUUAA